AUGUCUUCCCUCUGUGCAAGCCUACACCUCGACGCAGAAGCCGCGCAUGGUGAGCAGGUAGAAUGUCCAAUGCCGCCGUCCUCCCUCUUCUCCAUGGUGUCGAAGCUGAGCAAUUGGGGGGGGGGAGCCAAUGGGUCGGCGAUGACGAGCUCCUGUGAUCCAAGAACCGCCACGGCGCCAGUGCCGCCGCCGCCCAACCAACCAUCGCAGAGAAGGAAGCAGAGGGAGAAGUCGCCAUCCCAGACAUCACCAGCCCUAGUAACAGCGGUGGCAGCGGGGGAGAAGGGGACCAACACCGAGGCUAGCUGGUCAGUGUGGCGGGGAUGGUGGAUGAGGCAGUCGAGGAGGAGGGGGUCGUGGAGUCGGCGGAAGCGGUGGAGGAAGGCGACGCGGAGGAAGGGCCUGCAGACAAGAGAGGAGCGGAUGAGGUUGCCGCCGGUGGGGAGCAGGAGGAAAACCUCCCGAGGGAGGUCGUUGGUCAGCGUGGUGACGAUGAUGGUUGACAAGCCAUUCCCAUCCUCGUCGCCUCCUCCUUUGCACCGACUGCAUCCCAACGUUGAUGCCGGUGACAUGUUGUUCCUCUCGUCUUCUCUUCGCCUCACUACCCGCCACUAGCCGUCGUCCU
rnacentral:lncRNA from 1 species